rnacentral:rRNA from 1 species
GAUGAACGCUGGCGGCGUGCUUAACACAUGCAAGUCGAACGAUGAUCCCAGCUUGCUGGGGGAUUAGUGGCGAACGGGUGAGUAACACGUGAGUAACCUGCCCUUGACUCUGGGAUAAGCCUGGGAAACUGGGUCUAAUACCGGAUAUGACUCCUCAUCGCAUGGUGGGGGGUGGAAAGCUUUUGUGGUUUUGGAUGGACUCGCGGCCUAUCAGCUUGUUGGUGGGGUAAUGGCCUACCAAGGCGACGACGGGUAGCCGGCCUGAGAGGGUGACCGGCCACACUGGGACUGAGACACGGCCCUGACUCCUACGGGAGGCAGCAGUGGGGAAUAUUGCACAAUGGGCGCAAGCCUGAUGCAGCGACGCCGCGUGAGGGAUGACGGCCUUCGGGUUGUAAACCUCUUUCAGUAGGGAAGAAGCGUAAGUGACGGUACCUGCAGAAGAAGCGCCGGCUAACUACGUGCCAGCAGCCGCGGUAAUACGUAGGGCGCAAGCGUUAUC